UACAAAAGCAAUAUAUGUAACCUAAACAUGUAUACCCCCAUAAUAUGCUGAAAUUAAAAAAAAAUAGAAAAUGAUUGCAGUCACACUGACUAGACAUUUUGGUGGCUUCUCUUAGGUACUCUCGGUGGAGACUGCGAGAAACACUUGGAUCUAGGAUUUAUUUUUUAAGAAUGCUAAUGGAAUUUGCUGACGUGUCGAUAGUAGAGUAUGACAGAGAAGGAGUAAUUGCUUAUGCCCCCUAUGUUUCCUUCAAGAGCCACUGCAGGAAGGACAGUGCACUGUACUGGAAGUAAGCAGAGGAUAUGUGCACGUGUGCACGUGUGCACAUGCACAUGCCUGUGUGUGCAUGUGCAUGUACACGCAUGUGUCCACAUGCGUGUAUGAUUCAUGUUUCUCUCAGACAUUCAUGUGUUGAGUAGACAGUUGAAUAUGUGGGGUAGAGCUGAGGGGAGAGAUUGGAGCUAGAGAAAAAAAUGCGGCAGCCAUCAAGAUGUAGAUGUAGUUAAAAGCCAAGGUCUGAAAAAAAAAAUUACCUAAGAAGAAAUUAUAGGCAGCGGAGACAAAGGUCUGAAAUCCAACAUUUAUAUGUGAGGAACAAGAGGUUAAUCAAGCAAGGGAAAAUGAAGAUGAGUUGCCGCUAAGGCAGGAAGGGAAAGGAAAAGUGGCAUCUCAGAAUCCAAAUGAAGAAUGUGCUUCGAAAGGCUGUGAUCAGCCGCAUCAAAUGCUGCCAAAAGGUGUAACGAUUUUAGGAUGGAGACUUGACUGAUGCAUUUAGGAGGGAAAUGAUUUUUUGAGAGGGAGGACAUUGACAUGUACAAUUUUAAUGAGUGAAAUGGUGAGGACAAAAUCCAGGCAUGUAUGAAGGAAAUAAUAGAUGAAGAAAAAUCAGAGACAAUAGUAUUACUUAAGGAAAUUUUGCUAUAAAAGAUAUCUGAGAAAUGAGUAGUAGCCAGAGGAGGUAGUGAGGACAGGGGGUAGAUUUUUAAAUAUGGGAGAUGUAGCAUGUUUGUGCUCUGCUGGGCAUGAUCCAGUAAAGAGGAAAAUACAGUGCAGGAGAGAGUGGAAAUAACCAUAAUACAAGACUUGAGCCAAAGUGGGCAAAAGGGGAUGAUUUUACUAGGCAAGGAGGGUUACCUAAAAACAGAAACAGGGGCAAUGCAUUUGUAGGGAUAUGGGGGAAGUCAGAACACAUAUCUAUAGAUGAAGACUCAUCAUCACCUAGCCAUGAUUCUUUGGCAAACAUAGCCUGCUGAUGCUUCAUUUGGUUGGUACAGACACAAGAUAGCAAAGAUGAAAAGAAAGUAAAGUAUAAAAAUAAAAGAUUUAAAAAACAAAAUAAUAUGGUGCUUUACCUUAUUGGCUACUGCUUCACAGUGGGUACAGGAGAGAAAAAUAAAGCAGGUCUCUCAGCAUUUGCUGCUGCCCAACACAUGAGUCUUCUUCAGAUGAUAUGCACCCGGAAUAUGCCUUGGAACAGCCCAUGGCAGACAGAAAUGAGGGGAAAUUAUUUUCUCAACUCCAUUCCAUCUCCUCUUUCCUGCUGGCAGUUUGCUGAACAACAUAAAGUCUCCUGUACUCCUGAGUUGCAUCUUCUCAUCCCUUUAAUGGCCACUUGGGGUGUGAGAUGCUAUGUCAUGCAGUGUUGUGUUUGAUCAAAAUUUGGAAGCAACAGAAGGAUCUACAAACUCCAAGACGAGAGCUGUGUGGCAGUGGCUGAGGAGUAAGGCUUGGCAGCAGAGGAGUAAGAGAGGUGGACAAUGUGUCUGCCCAUUAUGUUCUGCUUCCUUCCUACAAUAUAGGACUUUCUUUGGGCAGGCAUGUGUGCAUAUGUAUGUUGUCAGAAAAUGACACUUCUGUGCCUUCCCCAGAGAUAAAGAGUUGGGGUACAAGUGCAAGCACUUACAGAGUCUCCUUUAAGGUUUUAUCCAGCCAUGAACUCCUGGAAGACUUGAAAAAAUAGGGUGAAGGUUAAAAAGUGGAGGACCCACUGCUGCAGCUGGUCUCAAGCUUACAGUUGCUUUCCAUCAUCUCCCUCCUCUUCCAGCAGUCCUAGAUUUCCCUCACUCUUGGACAGCUAUUACACUGGCCAGGGUUGAAUAUCUGGUAGGGUGAUCCAGACUCUUCUCCUGCAGGGAUCUACGCCAUUACUUUCCCUACACUUGUUGGGGUGUGUUUGCUGUAAUUGGCCACUGACAGUGGUUAUCAACAUGGUAGCUCUAAAAGAUACUAUAAUGAAGUAACUACACUCAUUUACCUUAUUAUGUAGUAUCAAUUCUAGCUCCUCAUGUAAACAACUCCAAUUAACCUCUUUUUGUCCUGUUUAUCCACUUACACAAGAAGCUCAAAUUAACAAGGUAACAGAUGCACCUUGUUCAGUAUAACAUUUAAUAUAUUCCUUGGAAAAACUCUCCAAUAUUCCACAAGCCAUGAUCUAGGACUUCUAUUGCAGCAUGGCUCAAGUUGAAGAGGCAGAAGAGGCAGAAUGCAGAAACUCUGCAAUUGGACCACAGGAGAGAAGUCAUUCCCGUUUCUAACUCCUAUUUCCUGUGUCCAUAUAUUUUAGCUAUUGGAGAUACAGAACCAUACUUCAGUGGUUGAUCCGACAUAAACCAAAUCCUGGAGGACAGCAGCCAUGGUGCUGACACCUUAGCUGAGCCUUCCUCGGGCUAACUGUUCUACUGUUAUUUCAGGGCAGCUGCUUCUGGUGACAGGACAGAUAAGACUAGUGAAGUUCGUCAUCAUGAAACAACUUUCAGAUCUCUUUUGCUGUUAAAUGUGCCCUUUGAUAGGAAGCACUGCUGUACGGUACUGGUUUCUGGAUGAGCUAUUCUGUAAGCCCUGGAUGACAGUGAAGAUGGAGACACAUAUACAUAUUUAUAUCUAUUCCAAUAAAGGUGAAUUUAUGCCCCUCUGAAAUUGAGAUAUUCCAAUGGAUUCCAUCUCUGCCAAAUGGCUGGUAGGUCCCCCAAGAAGUGGUGUCACAUGUCCAUUUCUGCUGCUGCCAGAAGUAUUAGCUACAGAGGCCUUAGUGAAGACAAGCUCAUAUUGCUGGAUCAAUGUACAGCCCCCAUCUCUGCCACCAUGGCCCACGGGGCAUGCAUCACAGUGGCCAAAGAAAGAGGAUGGUUGAUAUCCACCGGAGAGAUUAUCCUCCCCAUCUGGUUAGCCAGCAGCUACUCCACAAUGGGUGCUCUCUACUGAGCAUUGAUAUAAAGCAAAAAGAAAAGAAACACUCCAUGCUCACUGGCAGAAGUCCAUCCAUGCAUUUCUUUUUCAGAUCACCUUAUUUGUAAUCUUCUAGUCUUAUUCUUUUCAAGCCUCUGACUAAUCAGCCAACCCAAUUGUUCAGGAGUCGAUCUAGAUUUUUUCUGCUGGCUACCUCUCCCUCUUUGCUAGCUGGGUGACCAGCUCAACCCCAAGGGGAUUUCCCUUUACUCCUGUUCACCAUGCCAUUGAGACCACAGGGGUCCAUUUCCUGGUAGUGUGUUUCACACUGACACAUCAGGCCAGUUCCUUUCCUCUUCUAUCAGUUGGUCAUAGGAAUCUUCUCAGACCACAGUGAGGUUGUAAGUGUGGGUUGAGGAAACAGAGGUAGGAUAUCAAAUGUAGGUAACAUCUGUUCAGGUAAUAUAUUUGUGCUUCCUAGAUCUGUUUGAGUGUGGUUCAAAAUGUACCAUCAGUGAUGGACUUCUGCUCAGUCUGUCUAACUUUAUAAUUUGGUGGUUGUGACAGAUUAUAUUAUUGUUCAAAAAUAUUCACUCUUACACCCACUUCCAUGGGAGUAUUAUAUUUCCCAAUCCCAUUAAUGUUUAACUUGGUUAUGUAACUUGUUUUGCUUCAGAGUGGGCAGAAUGCACUUACCUGCCCAUUGACUUUAGGUUAGGGUUGUGACUUUCUUUGGCUAAUGGGAUGUUGGCAAAUAUCACUUAAGAAAUUUUUAUAAUGUGCCUCUGUGUUUGGGUUAGCACUCUUGUCCCUCUGCCAUUGCAGGCUAUGGCCAUUUGGUUUUCUGUGAUUAGGUGUUCAAUCUCAACCGCGCCCCAGUAUCUCAUUAUAAGCUAUUUUUCAAGUGGAAUGUCAUUCUCUGAUACAGAAGUCAUGAUGUUGCUCCAGAAACUUUAGUGUCUUCCCUGUGACUUCUAUUGGAGUUUGCCAAAAAUUUCAUACAUUCUUACCCAACACAUACCCUCUAGCACCUGAAUUAUGUGGCCCAGGGGGCAGAACAGUAGGUACUGCACUCUGAACCUACUAAAAAACCCUCUGUGGUAGCCUAUGCAUGAUUCAACAAUACUGGGACCCAAUAUUCCAAAAUAAAGUAUUUCACCUCCAAUAUCAAAACAGGACAACCAAGUGUUAUUCCUCUUGUUUAGUGGAAUGAGAUACAAAAUGCAGCAAGUUGUAUGUUAUGAUGUCAUAAUGUCUUUGUCUAUUCAGGUUGCUAUAACAAAAUGCCAUACAGUGGCACAGAAAUUUAUUUCUCACAGUUUUUGAUAUUGGGAAGUCCAAGGUCAGCAUACCAGCAGGUUUGGUGUCUGGUGAAGGCCUGUUUCUGGAUCAUGGAUGUAGGUCUUCUUGGAUGUCCUCAUGUGGUAAAAUAGUAAACAGGAGCACCUACAUGGGGGCACUGCAUGAGGUCCAGGAGAUUGGAAGGUGCAGAAGACAGUCUCCACCCUCGUGGAGCCACAGUCAAAGGACAGACCUUGAGAUUCUAUUAGCAGCAGCUUGAAAUGACUUCAUGCCUUUCCCAGCACUCCUAAUUCCUCUGCGGUGGAAGUGACCAAGGAAUUACAGCUACAGCCAUUUCUGAGAGUCUGGGUUGUGACCUCAUUUCCGUCUCAGUGGAUCUUCGGCUACUUAUUUACUUCCCAGAAUCAAUCAGAACAGCAGCAGCUUCCCUCUGCUGCCUCACAGAAAUCAUCAGACCUGAAAGCCUUCUCCCUGACUGGACUUGACACGCCGCCCGGUUAGGAGGAGAGGUGUCCAGACACGAGCAGGACGCCCGGGAGCCGACCCAUGCCACGCCCUGCUUCUGUGACGGGGACGAGGGGCCUCACGACCUCUGCUUGUCACUGCAGCACUUGCCACAGAAAGACCUCCCCUCAC